rnacentral:rRNA from 1 species
GACAGAGGUCCCGAGCGUUAGGCGGAAUCACUGGGCUUAAAGCGUGUGUAGGCGGAUUUGUAAGUACCUUGUGAAAUCCCAUGGCUCAACCGUGGAACUGCUUGGUAUACUGCUUAUCUUGGGCCAUCUAGGGGCGAGCGGAACAAACGGUGGAGCGGUGAAAUGCGUAGAUAUCGUUUGGAACGCCAAUGGUGAAAACAGCUCGCUGGGGAUGUGCCGACGCUGAGACACGAAAGCCAGGGGAGCGAACGGG